GGUAAUUAUUAUCUCAGCUGGGAAUAACUCUUGGGCCAGAGUCUUUACACCCAGUUAUCCUCAGCUGCUGUUUCAAAAUCUUCUUGCUUUCAGUGUCGCACCUGAGAAGUCUGAUGCUCAUUUGAUUAUUCUUCUUUAUCCUUUUUUAAGUAACUUGUUUGAUUUAGAAUAUUUAAAAUUUUCUCUUGGAGUCCAGGAACUUUACCACACAUUAAACUUGUGCUUUAUUAUCAGUCUGCCUAGAAUUUUAUGAAAACUUUUAAUAUGCUGACCAAAGUAUUUAAUUCUUCUAUUACAUGCUUACAUUUUCCCUCUUUUCAUUUAUUUGUUAUUCCCUUUUCUGGAACACUUCUUAUUUGUGCAUUAGGGAUCCUGGAACUACUCAAUUUUAAACAUUUAAUUAGUAUUUUUUUGAGGAAGCAUUUUAAUACUGUGACUAAGUCUUUUUUAUAUGUUUUUUGUUUAUUUGGUUUUUGGUUUUGGGUUUUUUUUUUUUUUUUUUUUUUUUGUAGCCAUUUAAGCUUCCGCCUGUCUCCUCUAAAGACUCUAGUUUAUUUUCUGGGUGUUCUGCUUGUUUUCCCUUUUUCUUGCUACUGAUCCUCUUAAAUGAAUUAUAUUUCCCUUUUCUUUUUCAUGGUUCAAUUCAUCCUUGAGGGUCAGCUCUUGCUGCUGGGGUAGCUUAAGCAUUUGCAAAUCCAUACAGGUUGGAGAAGCAGAAACCACUGCCCUGUGAGUUGGUGAUAUAACAGCCAGCAAGUAGCCAAUUCCUUGUUGAUAAAUGGUUCCCCAUUUCUCCAACUGCAGAAGUUCAUGCUCUCCUAAGGUUUGGGGGUUGGGAGCACUAGCUAAAUCUUUUAGCAAUCCCUCAGUCCCUCUUACAGGAACACUCAUGCAGCUCAGCACUGCCUCCCUUCUCUGGUCCAUGGAUUUCUACAGGCCAAGUAUUCCCCAGGGGUAAAGAAAUCUUGCCUCAGCUUUCACUACUGUCCAAGACCUGCCAGUUUGUGAACACCAUGGGCUAUUGAUGAUGUCUAGAUUGGCAUUGACCAGGGAGGGUAGACAUAUUGAGGAUACUGUCUUCCCAGAAUCACUCACAUAAAAUCCUUCUUAAAUCAAACGAGGUUUUGCUACUAUUGUUUACCCUGUAGCUAUUAGUCAUAGAAAUCAUUACAAGUGAUGUUUCAGAUGGCAUUUAAAAU
rnacentral:lncRNA from 1 species